UACGUAGGGUGCAGGCGUUAAUCGGAAUUACUGGGCGUAAAGCGUGCGCAGGCGGUUUGCUAAGACAGAUGUGAAAUCCCCGGGCUCAACCUGGGAACUGCAUUUGUGACUGCAUGGCUAGAGUACGGUAGAGGGGGAUGGAAUUCCGCGUGUAGCAGUGAAAUGCGUAGAUAUGCGGAGGAACACCGAUGGCGAAGGCAAUCCCCUGGACCUGUACUGACGCUCAUGCACGAAAGCGUGGGGAGCAAACAGG
rnacentral:rRNA from 1 species